UACGAAGGGGGCUAGCGUUGCUCGGAAUUACUGGGCGUAAAGCGCACGUAGGCGGCUUUGCAAGUUAGAGGUGAAAGCCCGGGGCUCAACUCCGGAAUUGCCUUUAAGACUGCAUCGCUAGAAUUGUGGAGAGGUAAGUGGAAUUCCGGAGUGUAGAGGUGAAAUUCGUAGAUAUUCGGAAGAACACCAGUGGCGAAGGCGACUUACUGGACACAUAUUGACGCUGAGGUGACGAAAGCGUGGGGAGCAAACAGGG
rnacentral:rRNA from 1 species